GUCUGGACAUGGGUUUUCUCAUCCAUGAAAUGGAGGUCUCUUUGUUCUCUAAGAGUCUGCCAAGUCCUCUCUAAGUUUGUGCCUGUACCUGAUGAGGCAGAGCUGGAGGAGCUUCCAUGGGGAGUAGUGGACUCUAGGAAGGGGAAAGAAAACCUACACAGGAUGCAUGGACAGCCACACAGUCUGUCCAUAGCCAGGUUGACAGUUGGUCUGUUUCAAACAACAACCCUAAAGUAUGAAAUGGUAAGAAUUGAAACCAUUUUGCAGCCAAGAAAAUUCUAAGGUUGGACUAAGCAUAUGCUUCUCUGGAUUCUCACAAAGGGAUGACACUAUUGCAGUUGUGGGAACUAAGUUGUUCACAGUCGACUGGCCUUGACCUGGGGCGGAAGCAAGGAGUUUUCCAUCAAUGCCAGUCUUACUGAUGAAGCCCCCAAAGCUCAGCCAUGUGGCUGAGACCGAACAAGAGGAGGAGGAGGAAGGUGAUGGCAGCUGCAUUUCAACCCCACUUGAAUAAACUGUGAUGACCGCAAAUAAAGUGAGUGGUCCUUUGACUACUUUUCCACCAAGAAUAGACUUACACUGGAUGUAUGACAGUAAGUCGUCCAAUAAAGAGCCAAUCAUUGGUCAGGGCACAUGGGAGACCUCAUCUGCUCUUGAUUGUCCAUAAUCUUGAGACGUAGCAAACUCGGGGCUAUACAGAACUCUUCCAGCCUUCUUGUCUUCUUCCUUUACAGAAGAAUCUCAACCUAAAUUAACCGCUCCUCACCUUCACUUAAUUUGGAGACACCACUAAUAU